GAUGAACGCUGACAGCAUGCUUAACACAUGCAAGUCUACUUGAACUUCGGUUUGUGUGGCGGAUGGGUGAGUAACGCGUAAAGAACUUGCCUCACAGUUAGGGACAACAUUUGGAAACGAAUGCUAAUACCUGAUAUUAUGAUAUUAGGGCAUCCUAGGUUUAUGAAGGCUAUAUGUGCUGAGAUAGAGCUUUGCGUCCCAUUAGCUAGUUGGAGAGGUAACUGCUCAACAAGGCGAUGAUGGGGAGCCGGCCAGAGGGGGAGAACGGCCACAAGGGGACUGAGACACGACACAUACCCCUGCGGGGGGCAGCAGUGGGAAAUAGUGGACUAGGGAGCAAAAGUCUGAUGCAACAAUGCUGUGUGGAUGAUGACGUUUUUCUGAAAGUAAAGUGCUUUCAGUUGGGAAGAAAAAAAUGACGGUACCAACAGAAGAAGUGACGGCUAAAUACGG
rnacentral:rRNA from 1 species